CCAGCCACGACUACAGGGAAAUAACGCAGCAAACUCGAAUACAAAACAAACUCAGACUCAGACUCGAUAAAGACUCAGCAAAACACAGCCUGAACUCGGCGAAACAGAGCAAGCAAAAGACUCGGAAACUCGACUCAAGAACAGCAGAAAAGAAACUCACACACUCGGACAGAUUGCAAACUCGACAAAACUCAGCAGAAAGCUCAGAACUCGGACUCACAAAUUUCAACUGAGCUACAGGACUAAACUCGGUGAAAUAACAAAACGAAACAAGGAGACAACACAGCUCGACGGACUCAGCAAUGACUCGACUCUGGCGACUGAAAACAGAGCCCAGGAUUAAGACAAUAACAAACCCAACUCGAAACUAUCUAAACAGCGACUCAAUACAAAAUCCAGACUACACGGCGAGGUGACUCGGCAACUCGGGCUCAACUAAUAGAUAACUCGGAAAUGUAAAACAAAACAACACAAACCAACAAAUUAACAAAGCAACUUGGGAACCCAGUAAACAGAUACUCAGAGUCAGCCGAAAGAUUCAUGCAGCAAAUUAUAACCAGAAUAGAACAGGGGGAGGGGGUUUUGUUUUAGAAAACAGGGGAAAGAGGGUUUAGUGUUUUAAACGAAAUAAGGCAGUGAUUCUUUUAAUUAAAACAAAACUUGUUAAAUCGCGUAAAUAUAUUUAAAGUAUGACUGCUGAUUAACAAACCAAGUGCCGAAUUAACAUAAAU
rnacentral:lncRNA from 1 species